rnacentral:tRNA from 1 species
GCCGGAGUGGCGGAAUGGCAGACGCGCUGGACUCAAAAUCCAGUGACCGCAAGGUCGUGUGGGUUCAAGUCCCACCUCCGGUA